CCUAAUUUCGAUAUCAUCUACCAGGUAACCGUAUGGUGUAAUAUAUUAUAUAAAAAAAUAGUAGUAGUAAUUGUUAAUAGGAUUUCAAGAAUGCUGUUACGGAGAUAGAGUUGCUCAAAUCCAACUCUAUUGCUCAAAAUCCCAGAAGCCCUCCAAUUCACUUCUCAUUCUCUCUACCAAGGUCAAAUAUGAUUUCAUUCUUUUACUGCUUUGUGUUUGUUAUAUUGCCUCAAUAAACAAUUUUUUUGUUUUUUUAAAUGUUUCUAAAUUAUCAACUUCAACUUAUGACUUUUAGUGAUCAUUGCAUAACUGGUAGCAGCAAUGCUAGAGCUUUGUCUGUUCAUAGAGGUCAAUGAGUCAUCAUUGUACACUGGAAAUGCUUGAGCUUUUCCCUGUCUCAUUUUAUGCCUACAUUUCUUGUCAACACUUCACAGGCAACUGACUCAUAUCUUCUGUACAAGUUUGAAGCCCCAAUGAUGAUUCUUGUUGCAGUGAUAUUGAAAGCUCUGUAUACAAAAAGUCCCGGGAUAAUCUUUUUACUUAACAUCAGACAGUAUUUGGCUAUGUGAAGUGCUGUUGGAAUAUGGCGGAAAGCACUGUUAAAUGGAUGGCCCUCAGGCUGCACAAAGGAUGUACUUGAGAAGCUUGUGCCUCAUACAAACGUGAAUAAGCUACAGAUCCAUAAUUAUGGUGGCACAAGAUUUCGAGGUUGGUUAGGAGAUGAUUCAUUCUGCAAUAUUGUAUCUGGCCUUCAAAAUUGUGAAUAUUUCUGUAUCUUGCUACCCCUUGGGAAACUACCUUCCCUGAAACACUUUUCCAUUGAAGGUUUUGAUGAAAUAGCUAGUGGCUGUUGGUCCUGAGUUUUAUGGGAACAAUUCUCUUGUGGCUCAGCGGUUUCUAUCUCUUGAAAUAUUAAAGUGUAGUUGGAUGUCUGCAUGGGAGGAAUGGUGUUCUAUCAGAGUUGAAGAUGAAUUUAUAGCUUUCCCUCGUCUGCAAGAGCUUCACUUAGAUGUUCUUUUGAAGUACCAAGAUGAGCACAGAGCUUUGUUAGGUCUGCUAAUGUUAUCAAAUUUCUUAAAGCAGAGUUUCAUUCAAUUCUGCAGGCUUCUAGUUCACACAAAAUUGAGGCUUUUACAACAUUCCACCUGAUGAUUAUCCCAUAAUUACUUUUUAAAAUUUGGUGACUACUACGAGCAUUGUAAGCAUUGGAACAAUGGAGAAAAUCUCUAAUAUUAUUGGUGGAACAGGACUUCUCAUCUUGCUUAGUUUAGUUUACUGGAUGUCUUGUUUUCUGUCCAAUGAAGUAGCAAAAUGAACAGUAUCUGUGGUAAAAUUUCAUCUUGCACUAUCGGAUUUUUUAACUUGUAUGUUGUAGUUCACCAUCCAUUUUGUUUGAAAAACGCCAGAGGCUUGUACUGCUAAUUUUAAUGGUAAU